CUUCAAGUAACACCUACAAAGUCUUACUUAUUUUUAAAAAAAUUCAUAGCCUAAUCAGAGUUUUUAAUAUCAAUUGUAUAUUCAGCGCUAAUCUAAAAAUUUUGGUGAUUAACUUCAGAGAAUCCUCUCCCCAUAACAAACCUUGUACUGUACAACAAAAAAGUGAAAAACAAAAAACAUAACACAAAUCCCUCGGUUUUGGGGUGGCUAUUAAUCGAAGUCUGUGAAGAAACCGCCAUCGCCAUGACCUGCUACCACCUCUAAUCUUCCAUCGGUAACAAUUGCAUUUCAUUUGAAGGCCACUUUCACCAUUCUUCAUCAAAUAAUUGUGUCAAGGUAUAUAUAAGAUAAGCAAUUAUCUUCAUCGUGUACUUGGAGAACUGAAGGGAAAUGCUGCCGAAUUUUACUUAGAAUCAAAGAUGAUACAUGCAUGCACUAGUAGGAUUGGAAGUUUAAGGAUGAGUUAGGUUGGAGUGAUAAAUACCCAAUGGAGGCAUGCAUUGAAUAUUAGUUUGUUGUGUUAUAUUUAUGUGAAUUUUUUAAUUGAUAAUAUUUUUAUGUAUGUACGUGUGUAUGUGGUGGGAUUUUUAUAAAUGGAUCGAAGUUGGGUGUAUGGGAAGCGGAAUACGUUGGAGUUCGUACAAGGUGUGAAUGAGCUUUAUAAACGUGCUAUAGAGCAUCAAUAGCUUAAUUGCAAUGAUGAGAUUUAUUGUCCAUGUGUUAAUAUGCCACAAUGUGUAUACAAUUUCUGAUAUUAGGACUAUAAGGAAUCAUAUUAUUCGUCGUAAAUUUAGGGAUGAAUAUUAUAUUUGGUUAUGCCAUGGUGAGAAGGGAAAAUAUACUUAGGAUAGGGUUAGUGUUGAUGUUGACACUUGUAAAACAUUAGAGAUUGAUAUAUCGAAUGUUGGGGUUGAGAAUGAAGUUGUAAUUAAGAUCAUAUCACUAGUAAAAUAAAUGCUUAUUGCUGCGAUCAUUAAGUAGCCUAUUGCGGCAGUUUUGGCCGCACAACAAUUAAGGGGGCAGCAAUAGGUAAUUAAUAUAUUGCUGCGGUUUUAAACCGGAGCAAUAGGCCAAGAUAUUGCUGCGGUUCCUAGCCAAAACCGCAGCAAUAGAUUUAUUUUUUUAUUAAAAAAGCACAACCUAUUGCUGCGGUUGUUGCCCAAACCGCAGCAAUAGGCCCCGGCACAGGUAAUUUUUUUUGCAUUUUGCAAUUAAAUUUAAAAUAUUAAAACCGUGCAACUAACCCAUUCACUAUCCACCAAAUUCACAGACAAACUGAAAAUGAAAUAACAUAUGAAUCUCAUUAAUUUAUAAAGAUAAAAAAAGUAGUUACGUAAAUAAUAAAGAAGAUCAAAAAUAAAAUGAAAAAGCAAAAAUAAAAAACCAACCUUACAACUAAAUGACUAAUUACAAAAAAUAUAAUAAAAACAAAAGAUAUAUUACAAAAAAUAAAAAACUGAUCUGAAAAAAUAUAUUACAAAAAAUUUAAACAAAUCUAAAGCACAAUCUACAAACAGAUUAAAAAAAAAAAAGACAAAAAAGGAAACGAAAAAAAAUGAAACGAAAAAAAAGGAAAAAAAAGGAAAAUAAACAGAUCUGUUUCUCGUGAAAAGCCAUUGCGAAGAUGGAGAACGACGAACGAUGAAUCAUGAACGACGAACGAACGGUGAGAGGAGUGAGAAAACCUGCGAUGAGGCGAAAUGUCGGUGUUGCGACGAGGUAAACGUCUGUAGAGUGAGGAACAAAACGCCGGUACUGUUGCGACGAGGCGAUCGAACGAGAGAAUCGUCGGUGGGUGAGGAGGGAGGAAGCGAACGAACGACGAACGAACGGUGAGAGGAGAAAGGUGAGGGUGAGAGAGGAGAGAGGUGAGGGUGAGAGAGGAGAGAGGUGAGAGGCGUGAGAGUUGAGGGUGAGAGAGGAGAGAGAACAUAGGUGAGAGGUUGAAUAUUGAGAGUCGCGGUUUUUGUCUUUAAACCCUAGAUCUUUAGCCCUAGAUUUUAAAUACCUUUUAAGCACCUAUUGCUGGCGGUUUUUGUCAAAAUCGCAACAAUAUAUUAAAAUAAUAUUUUUUUAUACUACUUUAAUAUAUUGCUGUGGUUCUUGUCAGAAAUCGCAGCAAUAUGUUUCGUAAAAAAAUUCAAAAAAUUUCCGUUGAAACUAUAUUGCUGCGAUUUUCGGCCGAAACCGCAUCAAUAUAGUUAUUUUAUAUUUUUCCUUUUCUUUUACGUGAUAUAUUGAUGCGUAUGGGUAAAAACGCACCAGUAGCACCGCAGAAAUAAGCAAUUAUUCUACUAGUGUGUGAGGAUUGAAAGUGAUGAUGUACUAGGUGAUGAAAAUAACUACGGAGAUAAUAGUGACAUUGAGGAUGAAGAUAUUGGUUAUGAUCGAUUAGGUGAGAUGUUGGAAUGGACCCGUGACCAUUUCAAUGAGUGGCCACGAGUGUUUGACAAUUUGUCUGAAGCUACUGGGAAACCCCUUUAUCCAGGAUGUACAAAGUACACUCAAUUGAGUGGGGUUUUAGCCCUUUUCAACAUAAAAUCAAAACGUAAUUUGACUUAUGCAAGCUUCACGAAACUCUUAGAAGCUUUACAAGAUAUGUUUCCUAAGGGUAAUUUAUUACCAAAAUCCACCUAAUAUGCCAAAAAAUUAAUGUGUACUUUGGGUUUAGAAUAUGAGCGGAUUCAUGCAUAUUCGAAUGAUUGCUUGUUGUAUCAAAAUGAGUAUGGGGAUCUUUAUGAAUACCCGAGGUGUGGUAAGUCCCAUUACAAAUUGUCAGAUGGGGUUGAGCCUGGGUUGGGCAAUGCGGGUCCUUCUGCGAAAGUGUUGUAAUAUCUUCCAAUUAUGCAAAGGUUGAGGAGGCUCUUUUCUAUCAAAGAAGAUGUAAAGAACCUAAGAUGGCAUGCUGCUCGGAGAGAAAAAUGGGAUGAUUAGGCAUCCAUCAGAUUCUCCUCAAUGGAAUGCUAUUGAUUCCAGACAUAGGGAAUUUGGUUAGGAAGCUAGGAACUUAAGACUUACAUUGUGUAUGGACGGAAUGAACCCUUAUGUUACUUUGAGUAGUCAACAUAGUACUUGGUCUGUUCUUUUAGCGAUAUACAAUCUUCCUCCGUGGUUGUGCAUGAAGCGGAAGUAUAUUACGUUGUCUCUCUUAAUUUCUAGGCCUAAGCAGCCGUUAAAUGAUACAGACAUCUAUCUUGCGCCUCUCGUCGAAAAUCUCAAAAAGAUGUCGGACGAUGGUGUUAUGGUAUUUGAUGCGAGUUCUAAUGAAAAUUUCAGGCUUCGUGCUAUGCUAUUUUGUACUAUAAAUGAUUAUCCUGCUUAUGACAAUUUGUCGGGGUAUAAGGUCAAAGGAAAAGAGGCAUGUCCCAUUUGUGAGAAUGGUAUGGAGGCUAGACAAUUGCCACAUUGCGGGAAAACAUGUCUAUACCAUUAAUAGGCAAUUCCUACAUAGCUCCCAUCUAUAUCGAAAGAAAAAAGCACCAUAUAAUGGAUUAGUUGAAAAUGCUCCAGCUCUUAGACCGUUGACUGGAAAAGAAGUCUAUAAUCGAGUUAAGGGGAUGGGCACAAUAUUUGGUAAGAGGGUUAAACCUUCGGAAGACGAUGGUGUCAUUUGAAAAAAAAAAGUCUAUAUCAUGGUGACUUCCUUAUUGGAAAUACUUACCAGUUAGACAUGGUCUCAACAUAAUGCAUAUUGAAAAAAAUAUUUGUGAUGAAAUUAUCGGUACUCUAUUGAAUAUGCCGGGAAAGACUAAGGAUGGUGUGAAGCUUCGUAGAGAUAUGGAGAAAUUGAAGAUUCGGCCUAACUUAUGGCCAAAGGUUUAGGAAAAAGCUAAGAAAGGAAAGGGAACAACAACGUAUUUGCCUCCAGCUUGUUAUACAUUGUCUAGGCAAGAGAAAUGGUUGUUCUAUGAGUGUUUAUAUGGUAUCAAGUUUCCCAUUGGACACUAAUAAUCUAAAAUUAAUUGGGUUGAAGUCCCAUGAUUGUCAUAUGAUGAUGCAAGUGUUUUUGCCGAUUGCAAUACACGGGAUUCUUCCAAAACAUGUCAGGCUUGCCGUCACGAGGUUGUGUUCAUUUUUCAAUACCAUAUGCAAGAAGGUACUUAAUCAUGAUAAGUUGGAUAGUUUGCAAAAUGAGGUGGUGAUAACACUUUGUCAAUUUGUGAUGUAUUUUUCACCUUUUUUUGACAUUAUGGUUUACUUAGUCCUUCAUUUGGUAAGGAAGAUUACACUAUGUGGCCCCGUGUUUUUUAAAUGGGCGUAUCCUUUUGAGAGACAUAUGAGUUAUUUGAAAAAGAAAGUGAGGAAUCCAGCAAGACCAGAGACGAGUAUUAUUCAAGGAACAAUUGCCGAAGAGGUUGGAGGAUAUUGUGCUUCUCAUUUUGGUAAGGCUGUGACGAUAGGUCUUCCAAAGUCCAGACAUGAGGGCAGGUUGGAGGGCAAGGGUGGGGUAGGAAUGCGAAAUAUUUUGCCUGCAUUGAGUAAGUUGAAUAAAGCUCAUCUUUUCGUAUUGCACCAUGUUAAAGAAGUUCAUCCAUACUUAGAUAGACAUAUGCGUGAAUUGCAACACAAGAACCCAUCAAAAGGGGAGAGGGCGUUGAUGAAUGAGCACAACAAGUUUUUCAUUGAUUGGUUCCACAAUGAAGUAAUUGGUGAAUUAUUUGCAAACAACCAUCAUGUAGCUGAUACAAUUAAGUGGUUGGCAUAUAGUCUACGUGAUAAUUUUAAAUCAUAUGAGGGGUAUGAUAUCAAUGGUUAUACCAUUUACACUGCACGUUAGGACAAGAAAUCUAAGGUGGUACAAAAUUAUGGGGUUUCAAUGGUUGCAUCAUCUAGGGAGUAUGCGAGUGUAAAGUAUAAAACUCCAAUUGAUGUUACACAAUCAUAUUACGGGAUCAUUCAGGAAAUAUGGGAUCUCGACUAUUGCGACUCCACUAUGGCUCUUUAUCAAUGCAAGUUGGCGGACAUAGAUGUAGUUUGCGAACAGAUGAUUGCGGUUUUACUCUAGUCGAUAUGAGUCGUCUACAUGACAGUGGAGAACCUUUCAUCCUCGCACCACAAGCAAAACAAGUGUUUUACGUAUCUCAUCAUGAUCAUCAGUGGUUCAUUAUUGUUACUAAUGGUAAAAGGUGAAUUUUAGGAGUCAGUGAUGUUGACGACGAAGAAGAAUAUGAUAAGUCUGAUGAUAAGCCCCAUUUCUCAAUCCCAAAUGAUGAUGUGAUGGAUGUAUCUGAUACUGAAAAUAGUUACAUGCGCACGAAUCACCAAGAAGGAAUCACACUUAUCGAGCAACCUAUUGACCAAAAAAGAUAUGGCUAGUGACGGUUCGAGCAAUCCCUCAUCGGAUUCCGAUGCAUUAUUUAUCCCAUAAAAGGAGCUUGACCAAAAGGAUGAUAGUGGUCAUGCUGCAGACCAUGCUGCAAAAGCGUUAGAUGCUUGGUGGGAAACAUGAAUGAAGAGGCUGAUAGGAAUGCUUUACUUGGCAUUGAGGUGACAUUUGAUCCACGUCAGCCACCCCCUCAGACCAAUGCAUAUUAUGGUGCACAAGGGAGGGGGAAGAAGUUAGGUGGGAAGACAAAGGCAUCUAGCAAGAGUAAAAUAGGUCCUACGACGAGGCUCAACAACACAGAAGAUAUGUACUUACAGUUUGGUAGUUGGGGAGACCAACAAGUCCGUGGCGAGCCAAGUAUGGUAUUUGGGUUGGUUUUUCUAUACGCAUGCUUAAUCAAUUGGAAAUGGAGAAACAUUUCUCCUGCCUUGUUGGAUUUGAUGUGGACAAACACUAUGAAUAUAUUUCACCUUCCGGACAAGGUAAGAUUGAACAAAAACUACUUGCCUGCUGUGAACACUAGAUGGAAGGAUUUUAAGAGCAAAUUGGUAUCUGGUUGGAUCACAAUGACUAGAGUCAAAUCAAAGGAAGAGAAGCAAGGUGAUAGUCCUCCAGAUUUAUACAAACAUAUUAAGAUGGAGGAUCUGCUUACUUUCAAAGAGUUUAUGACGUCAGAUGAGGCUGAAAAAAAGCGAUCCAGGGUUCAAAAAAGAACACACAUCAUCGCCACUUAGGUAAAAGGAACUAUGAGGAUGCUAGAGAGUUGUGGAAGCAGGAGAACUUCUGCCCAUCUAGUUUUGAUUCUGGAUCGUCAUCUAGUACACCAUCCUCAGUGUCCUCUCAUAUUAACCAGGGUGAUGACUAGUGGUGCGCGAUGCUUAAGAAAGAUCCUGUCACUAAACAACAAUUUAUUCCAAUUGAGGAAACAAAGAUUGGAGCUAACAAAUAUUUGGAGUACAAGGAGAGUAAGCAAAGGGUGAGUUCACUCCGAUAUGUAAUAAAGACGCCCUUUUAGUGGCUCUUGGAGAGAAGUCAUAUCAUUCGGGUUGUCAUGGUUUUGGAGGCAUCAAUGUGGUUUAUAGGAGGGCUUUUGGCCAUCCACCUCCUAGGAACUAUUGGGGCUCGAGACAGGAACAAUAGGAAGCAUUCAUGAGGAAAUUGUCUGAAAGGUGUAGAAAUGACAUUAUUACAUAUAUGCAUAACGUGGGGCUUUCACAGCCAACUCAGAUACCUACUCCACCAUUUGUUCCAUCAUCUACUUCACCAUUUGUUGCACCCUUUACUUCACCAUCUACCGGGCCAUCUGCCUCACAAGCCACUCAACUACCUACUCUACCAUCUGAAUUUUCUGGCACUUAGUCUCAUGGCUUAGCUUAAAGGUGCAUAUAUUUAACAUAUAUACACGUUUUUUAUAUAAACAAUUAUCAUACAUAAUUAGAACUUUAUAUUAUUGUUAGGAUGAGACUCCAUGUCAAUCAUAUUUGAUAGAUCCAACUAGUGGAGAGACUUGUCUAGUGGCAGAUGCACAUUCUUAUGCUUUUGAUGAGACCACUACAGUUCAUGGGUCUAAAAUGAUGAAUGAUCACCUUCGAGUGAAAGUUCAUUGUUAUGUAGAGAAGUAUGGUUAUUUGCCACUACAUGUCCCCGUUCCCACAUAUGAAAUCAACACUACAUCUACUAUUUUGGGUACGUGGGUGCAAUGACCAAAAUAUUUAACGUAAAUGUUAGGUGAUGAGGUAAUUAUUCAAA